GGCUCAAGCAUGAAUGAUUUGGUGGUGGACUUGGUCUGAGCACAGUAGUCCACAGCAACUGUGCUUACUGGUUGUGGGGAACUACUCUCCAUGACUUCAGGGAUCAGUCCCAUCUACAGGAGCCCCUGAUAGGGGGCUCACCUGAGAGAGGAUGCAGGCAUCCCCUUGAAUGUGGCCCCAGAGUACUGACAACCACAGACAGCUGUCUGUGUUGUGGGAAGGGCCAGCUUUUGGAGACAACAUUGGUAGAAGACAAAUUUACAAGAAGUGGACCUUCAGGAAGGCUGCAGAAUGAGAGGCAAAGCCAGCACCAUGCCAACUAACCCUUCCCUGCAAGCAGUCCUCUGUGGUCGUUUUCCGGGCUGCUGCCUCAGAACUUCAUGGAGCAUACCGCCUCACUGCAUCUCUGACCCACACUAAUGGGGCAUCUCUGUCUCCACUCACCACUGCUGGGCUGAGAUAUCUCCUGCACUUCUGAUGCCAAGUUCAGGAGAGGUACUUCCCAUGGGCUAGGAACUUGGGUUUCUCUUGGUUUUUCCCAGAAUGAAGCAGGCUUGGCCCCUCUCUUCUGUGUCUCAGUAAUUACAGGGUUGAGUGUUUCCUAAGGGGAGGGCCAUGUUGAUUCUGGGAAGAGUAAAAGCACUCACAGGCGAAUACCACUUAUGUGCAUCUGUGUUUGUGUGUAUGUUUAUAUGUAAAAUUUCCUGCAUCAACUUGGAAACACUUCUUUUUGUAUUGUCUAUAAAGUUAAGAUAAGGGCUAGAGAGAUGUCUCAACAGUUAAGGCACUUGCCUAUGAAGCCAAACGACCCAGGUUCAAUUCCCUUGGACCCAUGUAAGUCA